AUUGAACGCUGGCGACAUGCCUUACACAUGCAAGUCGAACGGUAACGCGGGGCAACCUGGCGACGAGUGGCGAACGGGUGAGUAAUGCAUCGGAACGUGCCCGGUAGUGGGGGAUAACUGCUCGAAAGAGCAGCUAAUACCGCAUACGACCUGAGGGUGAAAGGGGGGGAUCGCAAGACCUCUCGCUAUCGGAGCGGCCGAUGUCGGAUUAGCUAGUUGGUGGGGUAAAAGCCCACCAAGGCAACGAUCCGUAGCUGGUCUGAGAGGACGCCCAGCCACACUGGGACUGCGACACGGCCCAGACGCCUACGGGAGGCAGCAGUGGGGAACUUUGGACAAUGGACGCAAGUCUGAGCCAGACAUGCCGCGUGCGGGGAGAAGGCCUUCGGGUUGUAAACCGCUUUUGUCAGGGAAGAACUCUUCUGAGUUAAUACCUCGGGAGGAUGACGGUACCUGAAGAAUAAGCACCGGCUAACUACGUGCCAGCAGCCGCGGUAAUAC
rnacentral:rRNA from 1 species